rnacentral:misc_RNA from 1 species
UCGUUCCUCCCUUCUCUAUUAUUGCUUUUAAUUCUGUUAGUCCUUCUCCAGUCUCAUUUAGUAUUUUUUCUGUGUCCUUUGGUCCUCCCGUUGUCUCAGGUCUUCUUCUUUCCUUUUACAUAGUCUGCAUCUUUUUGCUCCCUCUUCUUUCCAGUAUUCCCUUGCUUUGGUCUCGUUUCCACAUCUGAAUUUUGCUAAUAUUUUUCUGCCCUUCCACUUCAUCCUCCCUUC